AUGUAUGCGAAGGAGGCCCGGGGAGGGGUGUGUGUGCCCUGUUCUCAAGGACGGGUGCUCGGCGCGGGCAUCCAACCGGACUCCUUUUUUCAGGCUAGCCUUCGGUGCCGCCGGGGUCGUCCCGGACAGGCGUAAAGGCAGGCAGGCAGGCAGGCGCGCGCGCGGACCCGCAGAGCUGUCCUGAGCAUUCGUAAGGCGCCUUUGGAAUAUGCCUAAAGCGCUUCCCGUGCAACAACCAUCCAGGAAGCGAAGUAGACCAUCUUCUCUCCAACAUCCCCUACAAGGCACUACAGGUAUCUGUGGGCCACUGAGGAAAGAGAAAGAGAAGUGCCUUUGCCUGAUCCAGCCAGCCAGCUUUCAGUGCUUAUAUAAAUUUUGUUCAGGUCAGGAUGUUUGACUGUAUGAGUGUUCGGCCCUGAAGUAUCCCUGGCUUGUGCCAAUUCAAACUACAGACAGACAGCAGGCCACAGGCUGCAUCCCAGGCUGCAGCAGCAGCACAAACAGCCACAGAGAAGCCAUUUUACACUGAUGGGGAGAUUCUUCUUUAAACAUGCAUUUACACGACUGAUACUUGUCUUGAAUUCUUCUGGGGCAACCUGGAAAAAAAACAGCUGUUCCUCUGGAACCAGAAUAAUGCAUAUCCCCAAUGGCAAUCAAGCUCUAGUAGAGGCAUCAGUUUCUCUCCUGAAGUGGCCCAUAGAUGUCAGUGUCCUCCUUGACAUUCUGAAUCUUUUAAAAUCGAGAUCAGACUACAGAGGUCCAAAGAAAAUCUAACUGCUUAUGGUCAUUGCAAGGACCUAAUGGUCAUAUGCUGUGUGUGCUUUAAGGCCUGGUAAUCUGCACCCUCAAAACAACAGAAAGCAUAAUACAAAGAAGAAAAAUAUUCUGCUCUGCGAAUGAAAGAGACAGCUCUUCAAGUGUCACCUGAACAUAGAUCAGUCUAAAAUUCAGAACUGUUAGUAGAUGGCAGAAUGCGAAAAGUGCCUCAGAAUCAUUAUAUAUUCACACCAGUUUUCUUAGUAAUUUAAAUGUUUCACACAUGUCCUUAAAACAAAGACAACUACUUGUUUUGAAUUGCACUGUUUUUUAUUCAUUGUCUCUUAUAAGUAAUUCACUGCCUCCAAA